CCUAUAAUCGACACCCCACGCUAUACCUCACCCCCCCUAGCCGACCAACCUAUAUACCGCCGUCGCCAGCUCACGCUGUGAGCCCACAGCCGUAAGCGUAAUCAUCGCCCAUUAAAACGACAGGUCAAGGUGUAGUUAAUGGGGGGGCAGUGAUGGGCUACAUUUUCUUCACUAGAAAAUACCACCCGCACCAUGAAAUCUUUGCCCAAAGGCGGAUUUAGUAGUAAGCCCUGACAAGACAUGUCAACCUGAAAUAUGCCCUGGGACAA
rnacentral:rRNA from 1 species